rnacentral:rRNA from 1 species
CCUACGGGAGGCAGCAGUGGGGAAUAUUGCUCAAUGGGGGCAACUCUGAUGCAGCGACGCCGCGUGAGUGAAGAAGUAUUUCGGUAUGUAAAGCUCCAUCAGCAGGGAAGAAGAAAGACGGUACCUUACUAAGAAGCCCCGGCUAACUACGUGCCAGAAGCCGCGGUACUACGUAGGAGGCAAGCGUUCUCCGGAUUUACUGGGUGUAAAGGGAGCGUAGACGUCUGUGCAAGUCUGAAGUGAAAGCCCAGGGCUCAACCCUGGGACUGCUUUGGAAACUGUGGAGCUAGAGUGCUGGAGAGGUAAGUGGAAUUCCUGGUGUAGCGGUGAAAUGCGUAGAGAUUAGGAGGAACACCAGUUGCGAAGGCGGCUUACUGGACAGCAACUGACGUUGAGGCACGAAAGCGUGGGGAGCAAACAGGAUUAGAUACCCGUGUAGUC